rnacentral:rRNA from 1 species
GAUGAACGCUGGCGGCGUGCCUAAUACAUGCAAGUCGAGCGAACGGACGAGAAGCUUGCUUCUCUGAUGUUAGCGGCGGACGGGUGAGUAACACGUGGAUAACCUACCCAUAAGACUGGGAUAACUUCGAGAAGCCGUAGCUAAUACCGGAUAAUAUUUUGAACCGCAUGGUUCAAAAGUGAAAGACGGUCUUGCUGUCACUUAUAGAUGGAUCCGCGCUGCAUUAGCUAGUUGGUAAGGUAACGGCUUACCAAGGCAACGAUGCAUAGCCGACCUGAGAGGGUGAUCGGCCACACUGGAACUGAGACACGGUCCAGACUCCUACGGGAGGCAGCAGUAGGGAAUCUUCCGCAAUGGGCGAAAGCCUGACGGAGCAACGCCGCGUGAGUGAUGAAGGUCUUCGGAUCGUAAAACUCUGUUAUUAGGGAAGAACAUAUGUGUAAGUAACUGUGCGCAUCUUGACGGUACCUAAUCAGAAAGCCACGGCUAACUACGUG